rnacentral:tRNA from 1 species
GGGGGCGUGGCCCAAACGGCAGAGGCUGGCCGCUUAAAACGGUCGACGUGUGGGUUCGAGUCCCACCGCCCCCA